GUCUCCCCCAACAGUGAAAUGAAAUAUCCGCCCUUGAUAUCCUGACAUCGUUACAUCCAUCAUUUCGUCAGAUCUGUGACAUCUUUCAUCUACUCUCCAGAUGCUGAUUGUUGGAGCAUUAUCUAUAAGCUUGGCCAGCCUGGGGGUUUCUUCAAAACCUGUCUGAUCACCUGACUGCUCGUGCCUUUUGCUCCAUCAGACAAUAAACUCGCUCCUCACGUACAGUGUCCUGCAUUUUUCAUACAAACACAGUGUGAGAAUGUGUUGGGUGGAGAACCAGAGUGAUCCUCUAAAAUAAACAAUUUCAUCCUCCCAUCCUUUCUCAUUAUUGGAUCUUCUCUUGAUUCUGCUUUUGGCUUUUUGAUCCAUGCGAGGUCUGACACCACCCUCUGCUUCUCCUCCCCCUCCCUUUACAACUGCACAAAGGAAAAAAGGCACCACCUCACUGGUACAAGCUGAAGAUGGAGAGACCUGGUCGCUUGGGACAGAUAUCAAAGAGAGUCGGGGGGCUGUUAUCUGGUGGUGCAGUGACAGACCCCUGCUGCUGCUGUCCCUCUCAUUAGUCCCCCUUCCUCCCUCCCUCCACUGCUUCUCAUCCUCCCAACCUCAACACUUGUCACUGUGCUGUCAGCUGGCUGCUCAACUGUAGACACAGGACCAGCCUGGGGACCGGAUGGAUGGCAUGGAUGGAGAGAAAGACAGAAAGAAGGAAUACAAGAGAAAGAAAGAUUUCGAGGUGUAAGCCAGGCUUGUCAGCUGAAGCAAACAACAGAGGAGAUCCAUUUCUAUAAACUCUAAUCCGUCCUGUAAACGUCUUCUUUCUCCUGCCACAGUCUGAGUACAAAGAAAACCUGGAGCAGAAAGACUGCUCUCUCAAUCCUGUCAAUUCACCCGACACGACUGCAGAGAGACAGAAAGAGAAAAAGAAACAGAGAGACAGUUGGAGAGAGGAAGGAAGAGUAACAGCUAUGGCAGCAACCUGGUGUCUUGCCAGGAAACACGGCAGGGUUCGAUCCACCAGUGACAGACGAGACACAAGCGAGGCAGCAGACUGGGCCGGCUGACUGCUGCUCAUUAUGUGUGUGAUUAUGAGGACCAAACACACAAAUGUCAGUCAUGUAAGGAGCUGGUUUGGGAUUAAAAUGUAAGUGUAGAGUUGCAGGAAAAAACACACUGCAAACACCAACAAACAUCUACUAGUAAACUAUCUUGCAUUUCUUGGCCUGUUUUUAUUGUCUGAUUCUGGAUUUGUCUUGUUCUUGCUCAGAACAGGUGAAUUGUGGACACAUUGAGAUAUUUCCAGCACAGCAGGACAAGUAUCAUGAUCUAAAACAUAAAUAGUACACGUCAGGUUUUGGUGUCAGUUCCUUGAAAUCAAAGAGCUUCUUUUUAGAGCCACCAUUUUACAUAUUCACUGAUAUAUCAUACAGGGAAAAAUCCAUCAGAGGAGGAAUGGAGGCAGAUUUAUCCACUUAUUUAAGGUUAAUCCAUUUAAUGCUUAAAAAUAAUCAGGUUUUAUCUUUCUUGCUCAUAUAAUUCUCAUCUGCACUGUUUCAAUUUCUCUGAUUAACUGGAGUUGUUCAGUUCAUGAUCGAACUAAUUUUAAAUCCUCAAAAUGAACUGAGUACUGAAUCACUUGUGUCACUGACUGAAUCAGUAGCUUUUGCAUUGGAGCUGCUUUGAGCUAAAUGCUAAUGUCAGCAUGCUAACAUGCUCACAAUGACAAUGCUAACAUGCUGAUGUUUAGCAGGUAUAAUGUUUACCAUGUUCACCAUCUUAGUUUAGUGUGUUAACAACGUCAUUAGUUUGCAGGUAUUGGUCAUGGAUUAAAGUAUUGGAAAAAAUGAAAUUUCGCGGGGAUGAUGACGGGUUUCAUCCUCUGGGCACCAUGAAUGUCUGUACAAACUUUCAUGGCAAUCCAUCCAAUAGUUGUCAACACAUUUCACUAAAAGCCAAAAAUGUCAACCUUUUGGUGGCUAAAGACAAAGUCAGGGGAUCGCCAAAAUCAGUAUGAUUCAUUCUCUGGGGACCACUGUUUUCUGUGUCCUCUCUUUGUCUAUGUACGUUUAUACAGUGGAGUCAUAAAGAUAAGCAUGGAUCUUUCACUCAAGUUGAACACAUGCAGAAACAUGUCUUCACCUAAAUUCAAGCCACCUAGAGCGAUUUGUCUUUCACAUCCACUUGUUUCUUUCCAUUGACUUUGUAUGCAGGCGCACCGUGUUUAAAAUUUGCCUCACAUUCUGUCUGAACACACCUUCAGAAACUGUAGCCGUUCUGACUACUGCUUCGUGCUAACUUUGCACUCACCGCCGUUGUAGAAAUUCGGGAAACGUGGACUCUGGCAAACAGCGCAUAUCGAGGCAAGCAACACAACCAUCCUAAAGCUUUCCCACUUGAAUUUCAAACGCUUGUCUCUGAGUCUGACCAGAAGCAUACCAAAAAUGAUGAAUUAACUAACUCACUAAACAAAUUCAGUCAGGGGUUGAGUUCGCACUUCCGCGCUUUUAUUAUUAAGCGCUGCCACUGUCUCUCUCCAGCAAAAGCAAGCUCAAACCCUUUCUCAUUCUGCUGGAAAUAAUUCUGGGAAAUGCAGGAAAUAGAAGCACGCAAACUCAUUAUCAUACUGACUGUCUUGAUCAUCACAGGGCGAUGACACUUAAAAACGUAGCGUAGAAGAAUCCACUGCAGGAUUUUUUCUACUUGGGACUAGAGAGGUUUAGGUUUAGUUUUGGUACAUAGAGGAAAUUGUUCAGGGUUUGGUUCACAGGAUCGAAGUGUGUGUGUGUAAUUUUAAGGAUGUUGCAGGAGACAGAUAAGUGCGGCAACAGAGGGAUUAUCAGAUGAUGACGUCCUCUGCUGCAGUACUGCCAUGUUUCAUCUGCUCAGGGCUUAUUAUUUUAUUAUUUGUUUAUAACAGACACAGUAAUCCAAACUGGAGGUGUGAAGUUAAUGUUUAAAAAUAGCCGGACUGCAUCUGUCCUUCUCUUGUAGUUUUCACAUCAUACUUUGUUUUCACACAGCUGUGCUCACUACUCCACAGCACACUCACCUGCAGUUGGUCAAUAAUCGCAUGCGGUUGGUUGCAUUCUGUUUCUGUGUCCUGCGUGGGAUGCAUGUUGUGGUUGGAAGACCGGCAGGCUCAGAACGAACAGACCUCCAUCUGCUUUGAGUAUUCUGGUCGUUGCUUGCAGAGGUGUAUUCAACAGCAGCUAUGCUGCCUUUGCAAAUGGCCCACAUUCAGUCUUAUUUGGAACAUACUGCCACUCUUAGUGUUACAGCAACAGCCUGGUUCAGAACAUUCAUCAAGUCUGAUGAUGUCUCAUCAAUACAACAGCAACAGCAUUGUGUCAUGCUUCCAUUGCUGUGACACCAGACAGCCUGAGUGACUUGGUGGAUGGUCAACGUAUGAUCUAUUCCCUCCUAACUCUUUGCAAAUAUGAUCUGCAGCAGGCAGGGUAUUCCUUGUGGCUAAGAAACUGUUCUUAAGUUUAAAUAUUCUUUUUUUGCACUAUAACACUUUAUAACUUUUGUGCAGCAGCUCUCUCUGCAGCUUAGAAGUAUUUCAAAGAUCAAAUCACUGCUAUCCUCAGCUGACUGAUAGAAGGUCGUUCAUGUAAUUAGUUGCUUCUGCCCCACUCGGCAGUCUUGUUCAGAAUACCAGCAAGGCUCCACUCUGGUGCAAAAUGAUCACUUUCGGUUUUAUCAUCCCUGUCAGUUUUUGUAUCACUCUCAAGGUUUGGUUACUAUGGAAAUGCAUUUAUCACAGAAAACAUUUUGAAAUGCCAUUUUGAAAUUCUGACCUCCCUGUCCCGUAAUUACAAGAUAUAUCUCAGAAUUUUUCUUGUAAUUAUGAGCUACGGAUGAAUACGGAAUUAUGUUAAGUCAUUAUUACAAGAUAUGGAAGACAUAAUUAGGUCUUUUUUCUUUGGUGAAUGCUUUGUGAUUCUGUAAGUUACGUUUACCCAAACCUUAAAAUGGUUUAACCCUACAGAACUGGUCUAGUGGCAGCUGCACUGCACUAAAUCAUGUUCAGGACCAGUUUAAGAGCUGAGAUCUCUACAGUCUGCAGUCUUUUUGAAAAGAACCUCAGUGUAGAUCAUCACACAGUAACAUCUACAUUUGGUCUUCAGUGUUAUGCAUUUGUUAAUGGAAUUAACGGUGUUACACCGAGGCAUCAGUAAUUUAAAGUGCUGCAUCAGGCAGAGGCAGACUUUUUGUGUGGUACAUAACGGUGUGGGAGAAAAACAGUUGGAGCUGUGAGAGAAGAACAGGCCUAUUAUUUUCUGCAUCUGUACUGUUCACAUGUUAGGAGAGUCAAACCAGAUCCAGAAAUGAUUGCAGCAUGAAACAGAAGCAGUCUGAGGCUUGGGGGAAAAAAAGUUCUAAUUAACUGUUAACUUAAACUGUCUCAGCUCUGGAAAUUCACAUCAGAAGAAGUUCCUCUGUGGAAAAGUAACACCUGUCACAGUUGCAACAGCGAACAGAAGAGUGAUCCUUUUCCAAAUGAAACUAUUGAAAAACGUUAGCAUGAAACAAGAGAGACCGACAAACUGAGAGCAUCGGAGCCACGACUUGGAUAAAGAAACCUGUUUUUUCAAAGGGAUUUGUGGUCCUGAAUAUUUGAGUAGGGUCCCUGCCCUGUCUUUCUGAUUCAAUGUGGGCAAGGUGGCGGGUGUGUUUUUUUCCCCUCACAUUCUGUCACCUGCAUCACUUAAAGGAAUACGUCAACGAAAACGUGUUUUGAGUAUCAAACACUUACCGCUCUGAAGUAAGCUGUUUUCCUUUGUCGCAUGCAACAUGUUUGCUUAAGGCGAAGAAACAUGUUGCAAUUCUUUGCCUUACCUGCAUAAAUUAACAAGACACACUGUUUUUAAUGAAUGUCCAUUUUUGUUUUGGUACAGGAACCCGCAAGAAUUCAUGGUCUUGCAGAAAUCGUGUGUACGUUUGUAUAUAUAUAAAUGUAUAUGUAUAUAUGUAACUGUAUAUCUUCCUUGUAAAUAUAAUUUAGUUUUCCUUUUUAUUUCUUCUUUUAGUGCUACUUUUAUAUACUUUGUUCUAUUUUA